UACGUAGGGUGCGAGCGUUGUCCGGAAUUACUGGGCGUAAAGAGCUCGUAGGUGGUUUGUCGCGUUGUUCGUGAAAACUCACAGCUCAACUGUGGGCGUGCGGGCGAUACGGGCAGACUAGAGUACUGCAGGGGAGACUGGAAUUCCUGGUGUAGCGGUGGAAUGCGCAGAUAUCAGGAGGAACACCGGUGGCGAAGGCGGGUCUCUGGACAGUUCCUGACGCUGAGGCACUAAGGCCAGGGGAGCAAACGGG
rnacentral:rRNA from 1 species